rnacentral:rRNA from 1 species
ACUAUACGGUGAAACUGCGAAUGGCUCAUUAAAUCAGUUAUCGUUUAUUUGAUAGUACCUUACUACUUGGAUAACCGUGGUAAUUCUAGAGCUAAUACAUGCUAAAAACCCCAACUUCGGAAGGGGUGUAUUUAUUAGAUAAAAAACCAACGCCCUUCGGGGCUCCUUGGUGAUUCAUAAUAACUAAACGAAUCGCAUGGCCUUGCGCCGGCGAUGGUUCAUUCAAAUUUCUGCCCUAUCAACUUUCGAUGGUAGGAUAGUGGCCUACCAUGGUAUCAACGGGUAACGGGGAAUUAGGGUUCUAUUCCGGAGAGGGAGCCUGAGAAACGGCUACCACAUCCAAGGAAGGCAGCAGGCGCGCAAAUUACCCAAUCCCGACACGGGGAGGUAGUGACAAUAAAUACUGAUACAGGGCUCUUUUGGGUCUUGUAAUUGGAAUGAGUACAAUUUAAAUCCCUUAACGAGGAACAAUUGGAGGGCAAGUCUGGUGCCAGCAGCCGCGGUAAUUCCAGCUCCAAUAGCGUAUAUUAAAGUUGUUGCAGUUAAAAAGCUCGUAGUUGAACCUUGGGCCUGGCUGGCCGGUCCGCCUCACCGCGUGUACUGGUCCGGCCGGGCCUUUCCUUCUGGGGAGCCGCAUGCCCUUCACUGGGCGUGUCGGGGAACCAGGACUUUUACUUUGAAAAAAUUAGAGUGUUCAAAGCAGGCCUUUGCUCGAAUACAUUAGCAUGGAAUAAUAGAAUAGGACGUGCGGUUCUAUUUUGUUGGUUUCUAGGACCGCCGUAAUGAUUAAUAGGGAUAGUCGGGGGCAUCAGUAUUCAAUUGUCAGAGGUGAAAUUCUUGGAUUUAUUGAAGACUAACUACUGCGAAAGCAUUUGCCAAGGAUGUUUUCAUUAAUCAGUGAACGAAAGUUAGGGGAUCGAAGACGAUCAGAUACCGUCGUAGUCUUAACCAUAAACUAUGCCGACUAGGGAUCGGGCGAUGUUAUCAUUUUGACUCGCUCGGCACCUUACGAGAAAUCAAAGU